CCGACCCAAAGAUGCUUUCGGCGUCCCGCCACCACGCCUCCCUCGUCCACCUGCUCCAACUCCACUAGUUCCUACCCAAAGCCGCCCUCGACCACCACCCAUUCGUCGCUUCCAAGCUCAUCUUCUCUCUCCGUCGCCGAUGCCUGCCCCGUUCUUCGUUUGGAACUCCCUUAUCCGUGCGUUCCCCGGUUCGGACUUCCACCCAUCCGCUUGUUCUCAAAACCUAUCGCCGAGUUUCCGUGUUGCGACUCGGUGAAAUGGUUUAUGCGCCGGCCUUAAAUGCGGGGCGUUUGCUGGAUUUCUACGUUGGCGGGCCCUCUCUUAGUGGGAUGUCCUGAAGCGCUCGGAAGGUAUUCGAUGGAAUGGGUGUUUGGGAUGUCGUUUCAUGAAGCUCCAUAAUUCAAGGAUGUCUUGCAUGGCAUUUUCAAAAAGGUGAAGGUGGCUUCGUGGCAACUCUCAUACUGGUGCCUCGGAAACUCAAAUCACAGAAUCAGCAAAAAGUUGUCGCAGACACUUCUCUCAAUCUAUCAACUUGCAAAUUCAUACUGGCCCAUGGCACAUGGCUCAUGCAAAUGUGGUAUGGGAAUGGGCCGUUUUGGAAAAUAUUCAUGGUGCAUGUAGAAACCCUGUAUAUGCUCAAGUCUAGGACCGAAAAUGGAUUAAUGUGUACCAUAUGUUGAAAAAGAUUAGGUGCAAAAUAUGCUUAUUAAUAGGUGAUCAUAUUGAUUAUAAUACCAUGAACAUACUAGGUGCAGAAUGAACCUUUUUUUUUUAGUUUUAUGCAGUGUUUAUUGGUAAGAGAGGUCAAGUAAUUACUUCAGUUAUAGGAUUUGGACCAUUUGGCACUCACAUAUUAGGGUUUAAAGAAUCUUAAACCAUGAUAUGAUUGUUUAGGGCCUAUUAAUCAGAUAGAUCAUUUCGAUCAUCAAAUUGUGAAUGAUUGCAGAGAAUUAUGCUACUGAUUGUUAUUUGAUCAUCUUGGAAAACCUUCGUUUG